rnacentral:piRNA from 1 species
UAAGUGAAGGUCUUCAAAUCCUUGGGUC